rnacentral:rRNA from 1 species
CCUACGGGUGGCAGCAGUGGGGGAUAUUGCACAAUGGGGGAAACCCUGAUGCAGCGACGCCGCGUGUGGGAAGACGGUCCUCUGGAUUGUAAACCACUGUCCCCAGGGACGAAGAUGACGGUACCGGGGGAGGAAGCUCCGGCAAACUACGUGCCAGCAGCCGCGGUAAUACGGAGGGAGCGAGCGUUGUCCGGAAGUACUGGGUGUAAGGGGAGCGUAGGCGGGACUGCAAGUUGGGUGUCAAAUCUACCGGCUCAACCGGUAGCCGCACUCGAAACUGCAGUUCUUGAGUGAAGUAGAGGCAGGCGGAAUUCCUAGUGUAGCGGUGAAAUGCGUAGAUAUUAGGAGGAACACCAGUGGCGAAGGCGGCCUGCUGGGCUUUUACUGACGCUGAGGCUCGAAAGUGUGGGGAGCAAACAGGAUUAGAUACCCCUGUAGUC